rnacentral:rRNA from 1 species
UACAGAGGGUGCGAGCGUUAAUCGGAAUUACUGGGCGUAAAGCGUGCGUAGACGGUUAUUUAAGUCGGGUGUGAAAGCCCCGGGCUCAACCUGGGAAUUGCAUUCGAGACUGAAUAGCUAGGGUACGGUAGAGGGAAGUGGAAUUUCCGGUGUAGCGGUGAAAUGCGUAGAUAUCGGAAGGAACAUCAGUGGCGAAGGCGGCGACCUGGGCCAAUACUGACGCUGAGGUGCAAAAGCGUAAGGAGCAAACAGG